rnacentral:lncRNA from 1 species
AAGCAGCACCCCUCCAUGGCCUCUGCAUCAGCUCCUGCCUCCAGGUUCCAGCCAUGUUUGAGUUCCUGUCCUGACUUCCUUUGGUGAUGAACAGCAGUAUGGAAGUAUAUUCUAUGAAUUUUCCUAGGAACCUGUGAGCAAACAUCUAUUUCACAUCAGAUAGUCUACUCACCUGAGAGAAAGACACCGUCUAAGAUCACAGGUCAAAACAGGCAUGGUUGUUUAUGCCUGUACUCCACAAACAUUCAGGAAGCAGAUGCAGGAGGAUCCGAGUUCAAGACCAACUCUGAAUGUGCAGAGAAUUCGAGGCCAGCUGGGCCUACAGGAUCCGUUUCUCAGCAACCAACCAGCCACGGAAACAAGAGAAACUUUGGUCCUCAGAGAGAUCUGGAAGCCUGCUGAAGCCUGCAAGCAAAACUACUCCAUGCAAGCCUACAACCUCCCUCAAGCUUCCUCACCCUAAACCGGAGAGUCACCCCCUGAGCCUCCUUCCUGCUGGGGAACCCACUCCUUGGUCAGCAGUCUCCAAAUGGCUUUCAGAAGAAACCUGGAAGAGCCGGCUGCAGUGUGUCCAUCUGUGAGCAUGCAUAGCCCUCGGUGUGGCUGGCUCAGUUCCUGCUUUUUCUGCAGCCCUUUCUCUGUACUCAUAGCUCAUAGGAAAGUUCCCGCUUUGCUGUAGAACUAAAGUUUAUGGCGGCA